rnacentral:rRNA from 1 species
UACGAAGGGGGCUAGCGUUGCUCGGAAUUACUGGGCGUAGAGCGCACGUAGGCGGCUUUCUAAGUCGGGGGUGAAAUCCUGGAGCUCAACUCCAGAACUGCCUUCGAUACUGGAAAGCUCGAGUCCGGGAGAGGUGAGUGGAACUGCGAGUGUAGAGGUGAAAUUCGUAGAUAUUCGCAAGUACACCAGUGGCGAAGGCGGCUCACUGGCCCGGUACUGACGCUGAGGUGCGAAAGCGUGGGGAGCAAACAGG